rnacentral:rRNA from 1 species
UACGUAGGGUGCAAGCGUUAAUCGGAAUUACUGGGCGUAAAGCGUGCGCAGGCGGUUAUGUAAGACAGUUGUGAAAUCCCCGGGCUCAACCUGGGAACUGCAUCUGUGACUGCAUAGCUAGAGUACGGUAGAGGGGGAUGGAAUUCCGCGUGUAGCAGUGAAAUGCGUAGAUAUGCGGAGGAACACCGAUGGCGAAGGCAAUCCCCUGGACCUGUACUGACGCUCAUGCACGAAAAGCGUGGGGAGCAAACAGG